rnacentral:lncRNA from 1 species
CGAGAAGCAAUGUCAUCUAAAAUAAUAACAGAUCCUGAUGACUGUUCGCAAACUUCAUGCACUUCGGCAGCCCGAUGACAAGUUGCAAUAAAGCUGUGCAAGUUU